rnacentral:rRNA from 1 species
CCUACGGGAGGCAGCAGUGAGGAAUAUUGGUCAAUGGGCGAGAGCCUGAACCAGCCAAGUCGCGUGAGGGAGUACUGCCCUAUGGGUUGUAAACCUCUUUUGUCGGGGAGCAAAAGCCGGACGUGUCCGGCUGUGAGAGUACCCGAAGAAAAAGCAUCGGCUAACUCCGUGCCAGCAGCCGCGGUAAUACGGGGGAUGCGAGCGUUAUCCGGCUUUAUUGGGGUUAAAGGGUGCGCAGGCGGAUUUUUAAGUCAGCGGUCAAAUCGUGGGGCUCAACCCCAUCCAGCCGUUGAAACUGGGGAUCUAGAGUGUGCGAGAGGUAUGCGGAAUGCGUGGUGUAGCGGUGAAAUGCAUAGAUAUCACGCAGAACCCCGAUUGCGAAGGCAGCAUACCGGUGCACAACUGACGCUCAGGCACGAAAGCGUGGGUAUCGAACAGGAUUAGAUACCCCAGUAGUC